UAGGGAAUAUUGGGCAAUGGGCGAAAGCCUGACCCAGCGACGCCGCGUGGGCGAUGAAGGUCUUUGGAUCGUAAAGCCCUGUUCAAGGAGACGAAGGAACCAAAGGUUAAUAGCUUUUGGUUCUUGACGGUAUCCUUGGAGAAAGCCCCGGCUAACUACGUGCCAGCAGCCGCGGUAAUACGUAGGGGGCGAGCGUUGUCCGGAAUUACUGGGUAUAAAGGGCGUGUAGGCGACCCUCUAAGUUGAAUGUGAAAUCUCCCGGCUCAACUGGGAGAGGUCAUUCAAUACUGGAGAGAUUUGAGGGCAGAAGAGGGAAGUGGAAUUCCCGGUGUAGCGGUAAAAUGCGUAGAUAUCGGGAGGAACACCAGUGGCGAAGGCGGCUUCCUGGUCUGUCCCUGAC
rnacentral:rRNA from 1 species